ACGCAAACAGUAACUCCGUUGUGGGCGGGCUAACCAGUCGGAACUCCCAAGCAAGGCGAAACAAAAGACUAUUCAGCAGGAAUCAACUGGUGUUACUACAUAUUGGUACAAACAUCAGUAGCGCGGAAACGUUCUUUUUAUUUGAUGGUGCAAAAUGGCAGUUGCCUCUGUAACGGUGCAUAUCUUAAACGUUUUACAUAGUAAGUGAUUAAUAAGUUAAAAAAUAAAUGGUAACUAAAAACGUGAGUUUAGUGAGAGGAGAAAAAAAAAAAUUAGUGUUACUAAAUGUGAACAUUCCUGAGAUAUUAUUUCAAACUAACUUCCUUAUCCACGAUGUUCUUAAUUCAAAGAACUCCGUGGCUGUAAAUAUGAUGUAACUCGACCAAGGGUUCUGCAAUCAAUUUAAAUCAGUUUAGAUUGCGGAUUGGAAAAAGGGAUUAUUAUACAGCUUCAAAAGAUGCUCGCUACAACCACAAACUAAGCUAGUGGACUUCUAGACUGUAGUUGUCCACCUGUUGGAUCAACUCAAAGGAAAGCUACGAUGUCUUGGAUUCUAGUUUUACUUUUCAUAGAGUACAAACUCCAUUUCUUGGAUGCUUUGUCCAGAGAAGGGCCUACGUUCGUUACUGAACCUCCAGGUAUCGCUAACUUUGCCAAUGAUACAGGAACAGUUAUUCCUUGUUCUGCUCAAGGCAACCCUCCACCUGCAGUCACCUGGACGAAGGAAAACGAAGAAAUAGUAACUAACGUUCCUGGUCUUAGAUAUGUUCGGCCGGAUGGUUCACUGGUUUUCACACAAUUUGGUGCGAAGGAGUACCGACAAGACGUUCAUGACACCACCUAUCGAUGUGUUGCCUCCAAUGCCGUAGGGACUGUUGGAAGUAGAAUAGUUCGAGUAAAAGGCGUUGUUCUUCAGAGCUUUCGUGUAGAAGUAAAUGAUGACUACGUUGUUUCUGGAAACACCGGAGUUCUGAGAUGUCGCAUUCCUGAUCUAGUUAAAGAAUACGUCACAGUGACGUCAUGGCUUCAGGACGAAACUUUCAUUAUCCGGGGUUCAACAACCGCAAGUAGGUUUAGUGUCUUUCCAAGCGGAGAGUUUCAUAUUCGAAGAGUAACUGCUUCAGACGUUCGCAAGACGUUUCGUUGUCAAGUGCAACAUCGCCUAACAGGAGAAACCCAGACAAGCUCAUCCUCUGGAAGGCUCGUAGUUACAGACGCAGUAAACAUGCCUCCAAGGUUAACAGAUUUUAAACGACACGUGUUGGCGGUUGAGGGAGAAAUGGUUGAAAUUCCAUGUGCUGCGCAAGGUUCUCCUGUCCCUACGUACGAGUGGUUCAAGCACGCACAUGGUGGAUAUGAUAGGCUAACAGGUGGAAAGACGAUUACUUUACUGGAUGGAACAUUGGUAAUACACAAACCGACUGCUGAAGACACUGGAAAGUAUCGCUGUGUGGUGAGGAACAACCUGGGAUCUGAAAGUUCUGAUACCGAGCUGGUUGUGUCAGCACCCUUGUCUGUCAAGAUUUAUCCUCGAUACCAGAUUGUAGAUGUUGGAAAAACAGCGUCGUUUAACUGUAAUUACUCUGGAUACCCGAUCUUAUCGAUAGAUUGGAAGAAAGACAACAUGCCUCUACAGUGGAACGAUAGAGCUCAUCUAACUGGAGGUAACGGGCUUCGAAUUUUCCCAGUAGAGAGGCAAGAUAAAGGAAUGUAUCAGUGUUUUGUCCGUAAUCAACUAGGUACAGCUCAAGUAGCAUCUGAACUCAGGAUUGGUGAUGACGAACCGAUUUUUCAAGAAGUGUUCCAGGAACAAACGCUUCAACCAGGAUCUUCACUAUCACUGAAAUGCAUUUCUCAAGGUAAUCCUUUACCUCAAGUCACGUGGUUACUGGAUGGUAUGUCCCUUCCUACCAAUCCUCGCUUCUCCUUAGGUGAUUACGUUACGGAAGACCAAACAGUAACAAGUUAUGUGAAUAUCUCCAGUGUACGGCCAGAUGAUGGGGGAGGUUACCAGUGUAUAGCUAAGAACGAUGUAGGUGAGGUUCGACAUAUGGAGAAAAUACGGGUGUAUGGACCCCCGUUCAUCAGACCCAUGAAAAAUAAAUCUGUUUUAACUGGCGAGAUUCUAGUGAUUCAGUGUCCAGUGGGUGGCUACCCAAUUGAGUCGAUUAUCUGGGAAAGAGAGGGCUCUAGAUUACCAUACAACCACAGACAGAAAGUUUAUACCAACGGCACCUUGAUUAUACAAAAUGUUGAUCGAACCACUGAUGAAGGAAGAUAUGUCUGCCAGGCAAAAGAUAAGGAGGGUAUGACGGCCGAAAAUAGCAUUUUCAUAUCUAUUUUAGUUUUUCCAGUUCCGCCUACUUGGAAGAUCGAACCACAGAAUAUUGCCGUUACCAAAGAUGAAGACGCCAAACUUGAUUGCCAAGCUGAAGGUUUUCCUGCACCAAACCUACGCUGGACCAAAGCUAAAGGCACUGAAGCACCGGGGCAAUACUCUACCAUUAGUAGUAACUCCCGUCUUCAUGUUUAUAACAACGGAACCCUCGUCAUCUACAAGUCAAAGAAAGAGGACGCUGGGUUCUACUUGUGUGAGGCAACCAAUGGUGUUGCACCUUCAAUCAGCAAGGUUGUCAGACUGGACAUAAAUGAACCACCUCAUUUCAGCAACAAGUUCCAAGUGCAAACGAUUCGAAAAGGUCUUGAAAUUACCUUGAAGUGUGAAGCGGAAGGAGAUAAUCCAAUGACUAUCUUGUGGCUAAAGGAUAAGCAACGUUUAGACGUUCGAGAAUCGAAAAGGCACCUUCUCAGAGAAACAACGUUGUCUGCCAGUAAAACGUCGCAUCUCUACAUCAUUGAUCCAGACAGAAGCGAUUCAGGAAUUUUCAGCUGCCUAGCUUCGAAUGCCUUUGGUCACGAUGAAACCAAUAUACAACUUAUUGUACAAGAACCUCCGGAUAAUCCUCAAAGUGUCAAAGUAGGAUCUUUCACGAGCAGAAGUGUCACGUUGUCAUGGUUACCACCGUUCACGGGAAAUAGUCCUAUAGUGGAAUACGUUGUGCAAUGGAAGAAGAAAGAAGAUAAGUGGCAGCAGCACUCGUCAAAUUCGACAGUUGGAGGAAAUGAAACCACUUUUAUUGUACUAAACUUACUUCCUUUCACGACUUAUGCCUUUCGAGUAUUUGCUGCCAACAGGCUAGGAACAAGUCAAGCUAGUCAAGUGGUACAUGUUAAAACAAAUGAAGAAGCUCCUGGAGGACCCCCUGUUCAUGUUGAAGCUCAAGCUACUGGUGCCCAGUCAAUAAAAGUAAUGUGGAAGUCUCCAGAGGAGCACCUUCAUUAUGGAACCAUAAGAGGUUAUUACGUUGGAUAUAAGUUAGCAGGAUCUGUGGACACCUACGUCUAUCAGACAUUAAAAGUCAAAGACUUGGGGUUUCAAGAAGAAAGUCAUCUAACGAACCUAAGACGUUAUACAAAAUAUGCUAUUGUUGUUCAAGCAUUUAACGACAAAGGUACAGGUCCGGCUUCAGAAGAAACGACAGUACGAACUUUAGAAAAUGAUCCCCCAUUCCAACCAUCUUUAAAACUAUUAGCUACCACAUCGUCUACAGUUCAGUUUUUCGUGAUGAGCAAAGACCGUUUGACAAAUAACGCGUUAUCAGGAUUCUUUCUCUACUACAAAGAGGACAGAACAGAUUGGAGUAAAGUAAGAAUUCCUCCUGACACCAGUGAGUACAAAGUCACAAAUCUAAAAUGUGGUACUCGAUACCAGUUUUAUAUAGAAGCCUUUAACUCCGCAGGAAAAGGAGAACCGAGCAAAACUCUUACAGUUAAAACCAAAGGAAUGGCUCCAAUAGCUCCAAGUAAACAAUUACUUCUCUCGGUAAACUCCACCUGGGUUAACAUCCACCUAGCGACCUGGGACGACGGGGGCUGUCCCAUUAGUUACUUCUCUCUCCGAUAUAAAGUUGAAACGGAUAACACGUGGAGGAUUCUUUCUGACCACGUUGAUCCUUUACGAAAGGGACAUAGUGUUAUCAAAUCUCUCCUACCUGACUCGCUACCGUUUGCAGGUUACUGCUAAAAGUCCCGCGGGAAUCACAGAGGCUGAAUAUGGAUUUUUAACUCUGCCAGUUUCUUCAGGCUCAGCUGCUCCAGCGGAAAUCAUGGAAAAGGAACAUAUCCCACUGUACCUUGAUCUCAACAUUAUUUUACCAGUAAGCGUGUCCUUAAUGGUGGUUGUCAUUAUUAUUACCACAGUCUACGUCAUUUUGCGAAGACAAUAUCCUCAUGAGGGCUCUAAUAGUGGAAGCACUACUUACUCUAGAAGAAAGCUCCAGCCUCAAGAAACGCUCCAGAUGAUGAACGUAAACCGAACCUCAAAAAGUCUUGGUCCUUUGGUCCAGGGUACCACAGUUUAUUAUCCCGAGCCAUAUGCUACAACAAGGUUGUCCACUCAAGAAGAAAACGACCUGAUUGAAGCAGGCCGAGACGAACCUUUAUAUGCUACAGUGAAACGAACCCCUAGACCCCCGAGAUCUGGCGUCCAUAUCUAUCACUAUCCAGUUCAGGGUUCUUCUGAUGGUAAUGCUGACGUCUGUCCCUCAACAAGCCAAUGGAAAGAGACCACAAUAGAGUUUAGGAUUGAUGAACCUCCAUCAGCCAAGUCUCUUUCUGAAUCUCCGAAACGCAAAUUGUCAAAACGAUUAAGAAAAUUGUCAGGAAAUUGAAGAAAAUCACAGACAUUCUACGUAUGGUCAUUAAAAGCUGAUCAGAACGUCACUAAAAUGGGAUUAGAAAUGGACGUACGUGUUAUGCGACACUGAACUGAAACUAUAUGGAUACUAAGAUCGUUUUUUUUUGUUUUUUUUUGUUACGUUUAAUAUACGUUUUCAUUCCAUUUUAUCCUUCAUUGUCCUGAGAGAUUUUAAGAAGACCUGAAGUAGAAUAUAAACAUGUGACUCAGCUUACGGGAGGAAUUUCUUCAAGUUCCAGUAAAACCAUAUCAAUGUGUUAAGUCAUGAUGUUUUGUAUAUAAAUUGUUUCUCUGCACUUUCUAAAUUUGUUGUCAACGGAGAUAAUAAAAUUGUAAAAUUUUUCAA